rnacentral:rRNA from 1 species
UACAGAGGUGGCAAGCGUUUUUCGGAAUUACUGGGCGUAAAGGGCGCGUAGGCGGCCUGUUAAGUCCCGUGUGAAAUCCCUCGGCUCAACCGAGGAACUGCACGGGAAACUGGCGGGCUUGAGUUCGGGAGAGGGAAGCGGAAUUCCGGGUGUAGCGGUGAAAUGCGUAGAUAUCCGGAGGAACACCGGUGGCGAAGGCGGCUUCCUGGACCGACACUGACGCUGAGGCGCGAAAGCUAGGGGAGCAAACGGG